rnacentral:rRNA from 1 species
CUAAGCCGAGGCCGAAAGGCGUAGGUGAUGGACAACAGGUUGAUAUUCCUGUACCGCCAAUAAGCGUUUGAGAGAUGGAGUGACACAGUAGGAUAAGCUAACCGUACUGUUGGUUAUGUACGGCUAAGCAUUGAGGCAGUCUAAAUAGGCAAAUCCGUUUAGACAAUGCUAGGAUGUGAUGGGGAAGCCCUUCGGGGCGAAGUAGCUGAUUUCACACUGUCAAGAAAAGCUUCUAUCGAGUUUAAAGGCGCCCGUACCGUAAACCGACACAGGUGGGUGAGGAGAGUAUCCUAAGGCCAGCGAGAGAACUAUUGUUAAGGAACUCGGCAAAAUGACCCCGUAACUUAGGGAGAAGGGGUGCCUGUCUAUGACAGGCCGCAGAGAAUAGGCCCAAGCGACUGUUUACCAAAAACACAGGUUUCUGCUAAGUCGCAAGACGAUGUAUAGGAGCUGACGCCUGCCCGGUGCUGGAAGGUUAAGGGGAUCUGUUAGAGCAAUCGAAGCAGUGAACUUAAGCCCCAGUAAACGGCGGCCGUAACUAUAACGGUCCUAAGGUAGCGAAAUUCCUUGUCGGGUAAGUUCCGACCCGCACGAAAGGCGUAACGAUUUGGGCACUGUCUCAACAAUAGACUCGGUGAAAUUGUAAUCCCGGUGAAGAUGCCGGGUACCUGCGACAGGACGGAAAGACCCCAUGGAGCUUUACUGUAGCUUGACGUUGGGUCUUGGUACUACAUGUACAGGAUAGGUGGGAGACUAUGAAGCAUGGACGCCAGUCUGUGUGGAGUCAUCCUUGGGAUACCACCCUUGUAGUACUGGGAUCCUAACCAUAGGCCUUGAAUCAGGUCUUGGAACACCGUCAGGUGGGCAGUUUGACUGGGGCGGUCGCCUCCUAAAAAGUAACGGAGGCGCUCAAAGGUUUCCUCAGCACGGUCGGAAAUCGUGCGAAGAGUGUAAAGGCAAAAGGAAGCUUGAUUGCAAGACAUACAGGUCGAGCAAGGACGAAAGUCGGACUUAGUGAUC